GUUUACCUUGCAUGUAGGAGUGUUGCCAUCAAUAUUGGAAAGAGUCAGGUACUGCUGAUUACGGAGAAUAUUUUGUUAAAAUUGAAUCAAGCAAUGAGUGCAAUGGAUACAUUGAAAGAAAGAUUCAUAUUCGUUCAGACAAAGAUGGUAGUUCAUGGGAUGUGAUACAAUUUCAAGUUACAGAUUGGCCUACAGACGGAAUUGUUAGAGAGCCGCUUACUGUCCUACAAGUUAUUGAUGAUGUUAUACACAGACAACAAAAGAUUGGAGGAGGACCAGUAGUGGUACACUGUAGUGAUACAGUGAGUCGUUCAGGAGUUUAUUGCUCAGUGAGUAUUGCUCUAGAACAGUGUAAGGCAGAAGGUGUAGUGGAUGUGUUUCAAGUGACUAAAGCUAUAAGAAGGACUAAACCAGGAGCUGUCACUACACUGGAGCAGUAUACCUCCAUAUAUGAUGUGAUUGAUAUGUUCUUCAAACUGCACAGCACAUAUGCUAACUUUCAGUAGAUUUAACAGACUAUAUAGUUUAGUUAGAUGUAUGUAGUUGCUGCAUUAUUAAUUCAUUAGUAUUAACAAUGUUUGUUUAAAAUA